UCCGUAGGGUGAACCUGCGGAAGGAUCAUUACUGUGAUUUACUACUACACUGCGUGAGCGGAACGAAAACAACAACACCUAAAAUGUGGAAUAUAGCAUAUAGUCGACAAGAGAAAUUUACGAAAAAACAAACAAAACUUUCAACAACGGAUCUCUUGGUUCUCGCAUCGAUGAAGAGCGCAGCGAAAUGCGAUACCUAGUGUGAAUUGCAGCCAUCGUGAAUCAUCGAGUUCUUGAACGCACAUUGCGCCCCUCGGCAUUCCGGGGGGCAUGCCUGUUUGAGCGUCGUUUCCAUCUUGCGCGUGCGCAGAGUUGGGGGAGCGGAGCGGACGACGUGUAAAGAGCGUCGGAGCUGCGACUCGCCUGAAAGGGAGCGAAGCUGGCCGAGCGAACUAGACUUUUUUUCAGGGACGCUUGGCGGCCGAGAGCGAGUGUUGCGAGACAACAAAAAGCUCGACCUCAAAUCAGGUAGGAAUACCCGCUGAACUUAAGCAUAUCAAUAAGCGGAG
rnacentral:rRNA from 1 species